UACGUAGGUCCCGAGCGUUGUCCGGAUUUAUUGGGCGUAAAGCGAGCGCAGGUGGUUUAAUAAGUCUGUUGUAAAAGGCAGUGGCUCAACCAUUGUGUGCAUUGGAAACUGUUAGACUUGAGUGCAGUAGAGGAGAGUGGAAUUCCAUGUGUAGCGGUGAAAUGCGUAGAUAUAUGGAGGAACACCGGUGGCGAAAGCGGCUCUCUGGACUGUAACUGACACUGAGGCUCGAAAGCGUGGGUAGCAAACAGG
rnacentral:rRNA from 1 species